UGGGGAAUAUUGGACAAUGGGCGCAAGCCUGAUCCAGCAAUGCCGCGUGAGUGAUGAAGGCCUUAGGGUUGUAAAGCUCUUUCGCACGCGACGAUGAUGACGGUAGCGUGAGAAGAAGCCCCGGCUAACUUCGUGCCAGCAGCCGCGGUAAUACGAAGGGGGCUAGCGUUGUUCGGAAUUACUGGGCGUAAAGGGCGCGUAGGCGGCCUGUUUAGUCGAGAAGUGAAAGCCCCGGGCUCAACCUGGGAAUAGCUUUUGAUACUGGCAGGCUUGAGUUCCGGAGAGGAUGGUGGAAUUCCAGUGUAGAGGUGAAAUUCGUAGAUAUUGGGAAGAACACCGGUGGCGAAGGCGGCCAUCUGGACGGACACUGACGCUGAGGCGCGAAAGCGUGGGGAGCAAACAGGAAUUAGGAUACCCUGGUAGUCCACGCCCGUAAACGAUGAAUGC
rnacentral:rRNA from 1 species